UGGGUAACCUGCCCUUAACUCUGGGAUAAGCCUGGGGAAAACUGGGUCUAAUACCGGAUAUGACUCCUCAUCGCAUGGUGGGGGGUGGAAAGCUUUAUUGUGGUUUUGGAUGGACUCGCGGCCUAUCAGCUUGUUGGCGGGGUAAUGGCCCACCAAGGCGACGACGGGUAGCCGGCCUGAGAGGGUGACCGGCCACACUGGGACUGAGACACGGCCCAGACUCCUACGGGAGGCAG
rnacentral:rRNA from 1 species